CCCACAAGAACCGGCUCCCCCAGCUGCUGCGCUGGUGGGAGGGUCACUGGCCAACCUGCUCUCACCCAGCUUGGGCUGGCCGCAGUGCCAGGCAGUUGCCCUCAGCUCCUCCACCCAUUCCCCCCAUGGAGGUGGCUGCCCUUGCAGGCUCCAGGGUGUGGCGGGCAAGUCCAGGAGGCAGAGGCCAGAGGGGCUCAUGCUGUGGGGGCAGUUCCUCUCUCAGACCCCAUCUGCGCCUCCCCUGCUGCAUAUAUGGGUGACAUGGAUGCCAACGGGCAGGAGCAAGGGCUGGGAAAGGCUGUGGAGAGGCCCUCGGCUGGACUAGUGGGGAGCGGGUCACUGUCUCUGCCACCUCCCUGGGGGAUCCAACGUGGGGAUGGGACAUGGAGCUGGGCACCUCUCCUGGAUGCCCCUGGGCUGAUCCCCCUCGACGUCCUGACGAGAGCCCGGGCCCAGCGUCUGAGAAGGAGUGGGAGCCGGGCCCGGGUGGGGGCAGGAGCCGGCGUCACUCUCAGCGCUGCCCCACACUCCCCAGCCUGCCUGCUGAGGCCAUGUCGGACUACGAGAACGAUGACGAGUGCUGGAGCGUCCUGGAGGGCUUCCGGGUGAUGCUUACCUCGGUCAUCGACCCCUCGCGCAUCACGCCCUACCUGCGGCAGUGCAAGGUCCUGAACCCCGAUGAUGAGGAGCAGGUGCUCAGUGACCCCAACCUGGUCAUCCGCAAACGGAAAGUGGGUGUGCUCCUGGACAUCCUGCAGCGGACCGGCCACAAGGGCUACGUGGCCUUCCUCGAGAGCCUGGAGCUCUACUACCCGCAGCUGUACAAGAAGGUCACGGGCAAGGAGCCGGCCCGCGUCUUCUCCAUGAUCAUCGAUGCGUCCGGGGAGUCAGGCCUGACUCAGCUGCUGAUGACUGAGGUCAUGAAGCUGCAGAAGAAGGUGCAGGACCUGACUGCGCUGCUGAGCUCCAAGGAUGACUUCAUCAAGGAGCUGCGGGUGAAGGACAGCCUGCUGCGCAAGCACCAAGAGCGCGUGCAGAGGCUCAAGGAGGAGUGCGAGGCCGGCAGCCGCGAGCUCAAGCGCUGCAAGGAGGAGAACUACGCCCUGGCCAUGCGCCUGGCGCACCAGAGUGAGGAGAAGGGCGCCGCGCUCAUGCGGAACCGCGACCUGCAGCUAGAGGUUGACCGACUCAAGCACAGCCUCAUGAAGGCCGAGGACGACUGCAAGGUGGAGCGCAAGCACACGCUGAAGCUCAGGCACGCCAUGGAGCAGCGGCCCAGCCAGGAGCUGCUGUGGGAGCUGCAGCAGGAGAAGGCACUGCUCCAGGCCCGGGUGCAGGAGCUGGAGGCCUCCGUCCAGGAGGGGAAGCUGGACAGGAGCAGCCCCUACAUCCAGGUACUGGAGGAGGACUGGCGGCAGACGCUGCGGGACCACCAGGAGCAGGCCAACACCAUCUUCUCCCUGCGCAAGGACCUCCGCCAGGGCGAGGCCCGGCGCCUCCGGUGCAUGGAGGAGAAGGAGAUGUUCGAGCUGCAGUGCCUGGCCCUGCGUAAGGACUCCAAGAUGUACAAGGACCGCAUCGAGGCCAUCCUGCUGCAGAUGGAGGAGGUCGCCAUUGAGCGGGACCAGGCCAUCGCCACGCGGGAGGAGCUGCACGCGCAGCACGCCCAGGGCCUGCAGGAGAAGGACGCGCUGCGCAAGCAGGUGCGGGAGCUGGGCGAGAAAGCGGAUGAGCUGCAGCUGCAGGUGUUCCAGUGUGAGGCGCAGCUACUGGCCGUGGAGGGCAGGCUCAGGCGGCAGCAGCUGGAGACGCUCGUCCUGAGCUCUGACCUGGAGGAUGGCUCACCCAGGAGCUCCCAGGAGCUCUCACUCCCCCAGGACCUGGAGGACACCCAGCUCUCAGACAAAGGUGAGGCAGGGACGGCAGUGCACCCGGAGGCCUCCCGGCUGCCCCAAGCUGCCUGGCCGGCGGGGGAAGCCCGAAACAGCCCUUUGCAGCUCUGCACCAGGAGGAGGUUUCGCGGACCCCCCACGACGCAGGCCUGAGCAGCGGGGAGCCGCCCGAGAAGGAGCGGCGGCGUCUCAAAGAGAGUUUUGAGAACUACCGCAGGAAGCGCGCCCUCAGGAAGAUGCAGAAAGGAUGGCGGCAGGGGGAGGAGGACCGGGAGAACACCACGGGCAGCGACAACACCGACACUGAGGGCUCCUAACCGCAGCAGCGCAGGCCCCGACCAGGACACACCCACCGGUCCGGCCUCCUGCCACCCGGGGUGCCGACGCCCUGGGGCGCAGACUUCCCCGAGCCGUCGCUGACUUAGCCUGGAACGAGGAAUCUGGUGCCCUGAAAGGCCCAGCCGGACCGCCGAGCGUUGGGGCAGUUUGCUAAGCGGCACUCAGCUUGCGGAGGCCAUGUGGGUGCUCGCCACCCCCAUGCACACGCCAUCUGUGUAACUUCAGAGUCUGUUCUGUUUCACCAUGUAACACAUAAUACAUGCAUGCAUUAUAGAAGUGCUAGAAAACACAGCUGCGUAAAUAAACAAACAGCACGGGUGACCCGCA